ACGCUAGCGGGAGGCCUAACACAUGCAAGCCGAGCGGUAUUUGUCUUUCGGGACAGAGAGAGCGGCGUACGGGUGCGGAACACGUGUGCAACCUACCUUUAUCAGGGGGAUAGCCUUUCGAAAGGAAGAUUAAUACCCCAUAAUAUAUUGAUUGGCAUCAGUUAAUAUUGAAAACUCCGGUGGAUAGAGAUGGGCACGCGCAAGAUUAGAUAGUUGGUAGGGUAACGGCCUACCAAGUCAGUGAUCUUUAGGGGGCCUGAGAGGGUGAUCCCCCACACUGGUACUGAGACACGGACCAGACUCCUACGGGAGGCAGCAGUGAGGAAUAUUGGACAAUGGGUGAGAGCCUGAUCCAGCCAUCCCGCGUGAAGGACGACGGCCCUAUGGGUUGUAAACUUCUUUUGUAUAGGGAUAAACCUACUCUCGUGAGAGUAGCUGAAGGUACUAUACGAAUAAGCACCGGCUAACUCCGUGCCAGCAGCCGCGGUAAUACGGAGGGUGCAAGCGUUAUCCGGAUUUAUUGGGUUUAAAGGGUCCGUAGGCGGAUCUGUAAGUCAGUGGUGAAAUCUCAUAGCUUAACUAUGAAACUGCCAUUGAUACUGCAGGUCUUGAGUAAAGUAGAAGUGGCUGGAAUAAGUAGUGUAGCGGUGAAACGCAUAGAUAUUACUUAGAACACCAAUUGCGAAGGCAGGUCACUAUGUUUUAACUGACGCUGAUGGACGAAAGCGUGGGGAGCGAACAGGAUU
rnacentral:rRNA from 1 species